UCCUGACCUGCGCCCGCCCCUUCUCCUCUCGGGGCGAACCGCCCUGAGCUCUCUGCUGAUCCUUCCUCUGCUGGUUUAUAUUGUUACCCACGGGACUCCACCUUAAACAACUUUGUAUCCGGCUCUGCUUCUUCUUGACUCUUGUGGAAGUUGCUAUUUUAAGAACAUGAAGUUAAAAAUAGAAGAGAUCGUGCUCAACAUUAAACGCCUCGUCCAGUGGCAUACCCAGUGACGAAGCAGGAGAAACGUUCCCACGGAGUCACCGGAAUGCCGGACGACCCGCCCUCCCAGUUAGGAUUUCUGUCUCACUGGAGGUCCUGAGUCUCAGAGUGGUUUGGGCUCAUACCAGCUGGCUUUUGCUGAAAACAAGUAGCUGGGAACAGUGGGUUGCUGGCCGUUUUCCUCCUGCUGGUCUUGCCUCCUGAGUGAAGCUGCUGCAGGCGCUGGUCAGACUGGACUCAGACAGGAGGGCAGGGCCUCUCUUCACGUGGCCCCUCCGCCUCCAGGAAGCCAGCCUGGAUUCCUCACACAAGGGGCUCGGAGUUCCCAGUAGCAAGAGAGAACAAGGCCUGAGGCACACGCCUUUCAAAGCCUCUGCUCUCGAGAAGAGUCCACUAGCCCCUCCCAAGUCCCCCCAGGACUCAAGGAACUCGGGCUCGAAUGAGACGUCCUCCAGCGUCUGCUGGGCCAAGGUCGUGAGGAAGCUCCUGUUAACCCAGAGACCCCACAGCCCAGGUCACCCGGCCGCCCCCAGCAGGCUGCAAUGGUGAUGUGGACGGGCAGCUGUGACACCAACAGUCAUUCAAGAAGGGGAGACAUGAAGGCACAGGGCAUCCCGGUUCCUCCAGGAUGGGCGCCUGCCUGGGCGCCUCUCAUGGGCCAGGCUGGGAAGAAGGGGCUCCGCUCGGGAGGGGCCGGGGAAAGACUCAGGGCGAGGGGGAGGCGCAUGGAAGGUCACUGGCCCCUGGAGGCCGGGCGCUGAUGGCUGGGAGUCAUCUCCUUCCCAGUGCAUGGUCGCCCCUGAAGCCAUCCAACAGGGGGACAUUCUCCAUGCACGGGCUGUAGCAGGGCUGGCAGAGCAGCCCUGAGUCCGGGACAGGCCUCCGCAUGGGCUGCCACACCAGCCCCCAAGCAGAGCGCGAUUCUCUGCUCUCCAGGGAGAGGGGCGAGGGCUGGCUCCCUUGCCUAUGGAGCCUUCGGAUAAGGGAACCCCCCAGUGGUUUGCCAUUCCACCUGAGGUGGCUCAUGUCCCGAAUGGACACUUGGCAUUUCUGCCUGAAGACUCGGGUUGGGCCAGCCGGUUCCCGAGGUUCCUUCAGCCAGGCGCUGUGAUCCUGGGAGCCCAGUCUGAAAUGCUGCCUGCGGUGCUGGACCUCCUGGGCAACAGAGCCCCCUCCAAGGUCAGGCUGCCCUGCCCCAGUGACUGAAACCUGGGAUGGGACGAGCCAGUGUGCAGGGAAGGGCCUGUGUGGAAGAACCCCUGAUGGGGGGCCUGGGGCUGGGGGUGUAAUGAUCACGGGGAGCUCACCCCCACGUGUCCCUGGAGAUGAGGAAGGGCCGUCAGCCUGGAGACAGAGACGGAAUCAUGGAGGCACAUGCGAUCUCCCAGGGAAGCUGAUGGAAGGAGAGGAGGGCAAGUCCCCUCGGUGUCCAGCAACAGCGAGAGGGAGGGGGCUCCUGUGAGGCGAGGAGGACCCUGUGUUUGGUACCUCUCUCUCGGGAGGCGGGGGGCCGGGGAACCCUGUGCUGAGAUGUGUGGGAGCGAGGGUGACAACCUCUCGAAGGGGUGGCAGUGAAGGGAAGGGAGAGAAGGGCUGGGUCACUGAGGGUCCUGCGGGCAGGAUGGUCCUGAGGGCAUGUGGGCUGGCUGAGAGUGGGUGAGGCGGGCUCAGCUGACCUCACUGACCUCGCUGACCCGUGGGCGGCGUUGUCACCCCCUACCCUGAUACCAUUGUUCUGUCCAGGUAAACUCACCCUGAGCAGUUGGACAGGAAAGGAAAUGACAACUUUUGGACGCCCCGGGUGGUUAGUUACAAAAGCUUUUAGGACGUUGGUACGUAAAGCGCUGGGCUGGGAACAUGCUGAUCCCCAAGGAGAAGAGGCUCUGCCCGCUGCCUCCCUUCGCGUUUGGAGUGAACCCUCUUGGCAAACUGGAAUUCAGGAUGAACCUCACGUGAGCACCCCGGUCGCACCUGUCCACAGGCCCGCCUGCAAGUCUCUGGCCCUGACCCCCACAGGCGGGAGUGGCCUCCUCUCCCCUCAGGGCCCUCAGCUCAGGGUUGGUCGUUCUGCACUGAUGGCCCACCCUCUGAAGCUGUUUCACCAACUUGCUGGUGUCCAUGGCCACGCGCCCGCCUCCUCGGUGGUGACAGUCAGACAUGAGCCCAACGCCGGGGUGUACACAGCCUGAGCGCCGAUCUGUGCACCCCGGGCCGGGCUUCCUGCUCCAGUCCUAGGAAAGCCGCCGGCCUGGGCGCCGGCCUGGUCUCCAUGGGGAACGGAGAAGGAGUGCUCAUGGCUGUGUGGUCAGUGACAGGUGGCAGCAAGGCAGGUCCAGGUCUGAGGGACUCCAGGUUUCUCUAACUCGGGAGAUGCAUCUGAAGAAGAGCUCAAAGACCUGAGACGCAACCUCGCCCAGGCCGAUCCCAGGGCUGUUGACGGCGCCACCACAGAAGGGCCUGAAGCUUAGAAGCCCAUCGGAUGCGUCCAGUACAAAUUGCUCCUCGACAAGACGUAUAACCCAGGCAUCUUCAGCACCUGGUGGAAGGAGAAAAUCUCCAUCAACUUCUUGCUGGGGAAGGAGCACGCCAUCACGCACUCCACGAGCCGGAUGGACAGGGCCACCUUCCACAUGAUGAUGCUCAUUGGUGUGUCCAGUACUUUCUGAGGUCGAGGGCCCGGCCUAGAGCUGGAAUGUGGGCUCAGACCGUUGGGGCACUGGCUCAAGGGUACUGGUCUCCUUCCAGCUCCCCUGUGCCCCCUGCUCGAGCCCCGCCUCGUCGGGAGGGAUGUGCAGGCUCCCAACCACCCUGGUCCACGAGCUCACGUCACCAUUCUUGCUGCCUGGCACCCUUUUCCACACAGGAUCCACCCAGCACCCCCACUCCAGGGACCCUCUGCCCUUUCCUCCCCCAGGCAGCUGUUGGUGUGGUCACUCCCUAGACAGGGGUUUUAAAUGGGGCCCUGGGGACACUGGGCAGUGCCUGGAGACACCUGUGGAGUCCUGACCCGGGAGGGAGGUGGUCCUGGCAUCGGUUCUGGUGGGGGGCCAGGCUGCUGCUCAACACCAUACAGUGCACAGGAUGGCCUCCACCCCAAAUGUCGGUCCUGCCGAGGUUGAGAGUCCCUCCCCCAGAUCCUGGCACGCUGGUGACCCCAUCUCCAUUUGGAGACCACGAAGCUCUGACAACCUGUUUUUAAAUUUCUCCCAAAGUUCUCCAGUGUGUCCACUCCAGAUUGUACCCUGUCGACUCCCCCGUCGCUCUUGUCCUUCCAGCACCUCCUGCAUGCGGCCGAUGCGCUCAUCAGCCCUUGCACACACUCCCAGCCUCGAGCAGGCUCUGCACACACGAGGUCCCAAGCUGGUCAGACUGGGGCUGGAGCAGGGGGACCCAGACAGAGAAAACCCACCAGGGGCCCAUGGCACCCCCUCACACGGUGACCGCAGACCACAAGGGCCCUCAAGUCUGUCCACACCCCUCCAGGUGUCCCAGGUCACCUCACUGCCCCCUCCUCAAGGCAGCAUUUCACACGCCCCCUGGUCUGACUCCUUCUCGGGAUGUCUGAGCAGGGAUGGCUCAUCCCUGGGCACCUUUGGGGACGGCAGUCAAAGGUCCCCUCUCUGCGCAGAGGUCUCUGACUGGAGAAAGGGGCCCCCUGACGUAAAGAGAAUGGGUUUGCUUGCCUCCCCGACUCUCGUUCCUGGUUGGAUCCAGAGGCUCAGCCCUGGGAGACGUGGCCCCACCUUGUUCUCUGCUGUCGGGGCCAGUGUCCUCAGGGCCGCAUCUGUACACAGGCGCCUGUGCCUCAGGGAGGACCUAGUAAGGGGACCCGCAGGAUGUCCCCACUGGCCACCAGCUCUGGACUGGGAGGGGAGAAACCCUGACCUUGUCCAGCCAAUGCCACGCUCGGGGCACUGCGGCAACGGUCUCCAAAACCAGCAUCCAGCAGGAUGGUGACAUGGACCUUUCUCCUGGAAACACGAGGCUUCUCAGGAUGGCCCUCCCCGACGCAGGUCCCCUCACCCCACCCCUACCCAGGUCCCUAAAAGGACUCCGCUCAUGUGAGGGACAAGUGGAGUCAACCCACGGAAAGAGGAGGUGGUACCGGGGGCUGGGGAGGGGAGGGGGUGAGUGUUCAGUGGGGACAGAGAUUCAGUCUGGGAAGGUCCUGGAGCUGAUGGUGGGGACGGGUGCACAACGUGAAUGUGCUCAAUGCCACUGAGCCGUGCACUUAACGAUGGUUAAGAUGGUGAAUUUUACAUGAUGCAUAGUU